GGGGCCUUAGCUCAGAUGGGAGAGCACCUGCUUUGCAAGCAGGGGGUCAUCGGUUCGAUCCCGAUAGGCUCCACCA
rnacentral:tRNA from 3 species